GAUGAACGCUAGCUACAGGCUUAACACAUGCAAGUCGAGGGGCAGCAUGAACUUAGCUUGCUAAGUUUGAUGGCGACCGGCGCACGGGUGAGUAACACGUAUCCAACCUGCCGAUGACUCGGGGAUAGCCUUUCGAAAGAAAGAUUAAUACCCGAUGGCAUAGUUCUUCCGCAUGGUAGAACUAUUAAAGAAUUUCGGUCAUCGAUGGGGAUGCGUUCCAUUAGGUUGUUGGCGGGGUAACGGCCCACCAAGCCUUCGAUGGAUAGGGGUUCUGAGAGGAAGGUCCCCCACAUUGGAACUGAGACACGGUCCAAAACUCCUACGGGAGGCAGCAGUGAGGAAUAUUGGUCAAUGGACGAGAGUCUGAACCAGCCAAGUAGCGUGAAGGAUGACUGCCCUAUGGGUUGUAAAACUUCUUUUAUACGGGAAUAAAGUUAGCCACGUGUGGUUUUUUGUAUGUACCGUAUGAAUAAGGAUGGCUAAACUCCGUG
rnacentral:rRNA from 1 species